CAUAAACAUUUUAACUGAUAAAUUAUAUCAAACAAUUAAAGCAGCAAAAAGAAGGAACACUUCUCCCCUCAUUUUAGGAACUCAACAUUGUGGUAAUCCUAAAACUGGAUAAAGAUAAUAGAAGAAAAAAGUAUGAACAUAGAUAGAAAUUUGUUUAACAAAACAAACUAUUAGAAGUCAGAUCUGGCAGUAUGUAGAAAGACAAAGUGGUUUUGUUAUAGGGAUGGCAGUGUUGGUUCAGCAUUGGAAGAUCCACCCCCAAAAGUCACCAUUUUAACAGAGGAAAGGAAAAAGCCAUAUGAUCCUGUCACUAGUUGGAGAAAAAGUAUUGGACUAAAUUCUACAGCUGUUACGGUAAAAGCUAUCAGGAGACUAGAAGUAGAACAGAAUCUUCUCAACAGAUUAAAGACAUGUACUCCAUACUUCCAACAAGAAUGCCUUAUAUGACUGGAGAAGAUACAAUGCUUUCUCCUUAAGGUGGGGAACAAGGGCAGAUAUGCUUACUCUUUAUCUGUCCAUUAAACUUUGAAACCUAGGCCCCACCAAAAUAGUCUGGCAAUAAAAUGACACAACUAGGAUAGGAUUGGCAUGGCAGAAGCAAAAUCUUUAUAUGUAGAUGAAAUGAUCAUCUGUGUAUACUUGCUAUAAAUGAAGAAUUGGAUAAUGAAAUUUAAAAGUUAUGUAGGAGUACAAAGGACCUAGAAAAGUUAAAAACAAAAACAAAAACAGUGUUGGAAGAUGUUUAGUACCUAAUUUUAAGAUUUCUUCUAAAGCUACAGUAAUCAAGGCAGUGUUGGUGUAAGGAAAGACAUAUAGAUCAUUGGAAUAAAACAGAGAAUCUAGAAAUAGAACCACACAUAUAUGGUCCACUGAGUUAUGAAAGAUUAUUUAACAUUAGCAUUUUAUAGAAUAUAAACUCAAUUCAAGAGCCGAGGAAGAGAUAGUGUUUUCAGCAAAUGGCACUAGAACACCUGGUAUCCAUAUAUAGAAAAUUAACCUCAAC
rnacentral:lncRNA from 1 species